ACUCAAUAGAUACCCCGGUAGUCCCAGCUGUAAACGAUGCAGACUCGGUGAUGAGUUGGCUACAUGCCACCUCAGUGCCGCAGGGAAGCCGUUAAGUUUGCCGCCUGGGGAGUACGGUCGCAAGACUGAAACUUAAAGGAAUUGGCGGGGAGCACCACAAGGGGUGAAAGCCUGCGGUUCAAUUGGAGUCAACGCCGGAAAUCUUACCGGGGGCGGACAGCAGUAUGAAGGUCAAGCUGAAGACUUUACCAGACAAGCUGAGAGGAGGUGCAUGGCCGUCGCCAGCUCGUGCCGUGAGGUGUCCUGUUAAGUCAGGUAACGAGCGAGACCCCUGCCUCUAGUUGCUACCUUUACUCUCAGGAGUAGUGGAGCUAAUUAGAGGGACUGCCGUCGCUGAGACGGAGGAAGGAGGGGGGCUACGGCAGGUCAGUAUGCCCCGAAACCCUCGGGCCACACGCGGGCUGCAAUGGUAAGGACAAUGAGUUUCAAUUCCG
rnacentral:rRNA from 1 species